CUCAGGAUGAACGCUAGCUACAGGCUUAACACAUGCAAGUCGAGGGGCAGCAUGGUCUUAGCUUGCUAAGGCCGAUGGCGACCGGCGCACGGGUGAGUAACACGUAUCCAACCUGCCGUCUACUCUUGGACAGCCUUCUGAAAGGAAGAUUAAUACAAGAUGGCAUCAUGAGUCCGCAUGUUCGCAUGAUUAAAGGUAUUCCGGUAGACGAUGGGGAUGCGUUCCAUUAGAUAGUAGGCGGGGUAACGGCCCACCUAGUCUUCGAUGGAUAGGGGUUCUGAGAGGAAGGUCCCCCACAUUGGAACUGAGACACGGUCCAAACUCCUACGGGAGGCAGCAGUGAGGAAUAUUGGUCAAUGGGCGAGAGCCUGAACCAGCCAAGUAGCGUGAAGGAUGACUGCCCUAUGGGUUGUAAACUUCUUUUAUAAAGGAAUAAAGUCGGGUAUGCAUACCCGUUUGCAUGUACUUUAUGAAUAAGGAUCGGCUAACUCCGUGCCAGCAGCCGCGGUAAUACGGAGGAUCCGAGCGUUAUCCGGAUUUAUUGGGUUUAAAGGGAGCGUAGAUGGAUGUUUAAGUCAGUUGUGAAAGUUUGCGGCUCAACCGUAAAAUUGCAGUUGAUACUGGAUAUCUUGAGUGCAGUUGAGGCAGGCGGAAUUCGUGGUGUAGCGGUGAAAUGCUUAGAUAUCACGAAGAACUCCGAUUGCGAAGGCAGCCUGCUAAGCUGCAACUGACAUUGAGGCUCGAAAGUGUGGGUAUCAAACAGGAUUAGAUACCCUGGUAGUCCACACGGUAAACGAUGAAUACUCGCUGUUUGCGAUAUACAGCAAGCGGCCAAGCGAAAGCGUUAAGUAUUCCACCUGGGGAGUACGCCGGCAACGGUGAAACUCAAAGGAAUUGACGGGGGCCCGCACAAGCGGAGGAACAUGUGGUUUAAUUCGAUGAUACGCGAGGAACCUUACCCGGGCUUAAAUUGCAGAUGAAUUACGGUGAAAGCCGUAAGCCGCAAGGCAUCUGUGAAGGUGCUGCAUGGUUGUCGUCAGCUCGUGCCGUGAGGUGUCGGCUUAAGUGCCAUAACGAGCGCAACCCUUGUUGUCAGUUACUAACAGGUUCCGCUGAGGACUCUGACAAGACUGCCAUCGUAAGAUGUGAGGAAGGUGGGGAUGACGUCAAAUCAGCACGGCCCUUACGUCCGGGGCUACACACGUGUUACAAUGGGGGGGUACAGAGGGCCGUUACCACGCGAGUGGAUGCCAAUCCCAAAAACCUCUCUCAGUUCGGACUGGAGUCUGCAACCCGACUCCACGAAGCUGGAUUCGCUAGUAAUCGCGCAUCAGCCACGGCGCGGUGAAUACGUUCCCGGGCCUUGUACACACCGCCCGUCAAGCCAUGGGAGCCGGGGGUACCUGAAGUGCGUAACCGCGAGGAGCGCCCUAGGGUA
rnacentral:rRNA from 1 species